rnacentral:rRNA from 1 species
AAUCAACGCUGGCGGCGUGCCUCAGACAUGCAAGUCGAACGAUUAAAGCUCUCUUCGGAGAGUGUAUAGAGUGGCGCACGGGUGAGUAACACGUAAGUAAUCUACCUUCGAGUGGGAAUAACGUCCGGAACGGACGCUAAUACCGCAUAAUGCAGCGGCAUCGCAAGAUGACAGUUGUUAAAGAUUUAUCGCUUGAAGAGGAGCUUGCGGCAGAUAGCUAGUUGGUAAGGUAAUGCUUACCAAGGCUGCGAUCAGUAGCUGGUCUGAGAGGACGGCCAGCCACAAUGGCACUGAACACGGCCAUACUCCUACGGGAGGCAGCAGUGGGGAAUUUUGCGCAAUGGGCGAAAGCCUGACGCAGC